AAUGGGUCAGCGACUUAUAUUCUGUAGCAAGGUUAACCGAAUAGGGGAGCCGAAGGGAAACCGAGUCUUAACUGGGCGUUAAGUUGCAGGGUAUAGACCCGAAACCCGGUGAUCUAGCCAUGGGCAGGUUGAAGGUUGGGUAACACUAACUGGAGGACCGAACCGACUAAUGUUGAAAAAUUAGCGGAUGACUUGUGGCUGGGGGUGAAAGGCCAAUCAAACCGGGAGAUAGCUGGUUCUCCCCGAAAGCUAUUUAGGUAGCGCCUCGUGAAUUCAUCUCCGGGGGUAGAGCACUGUUUCGGCAAGGGGGUCAUCCCGACUUACCAACCCGAUGCAAACUGCGAAUACCGGAGAAUGUUAUCACGGGAGACACACGGCGGGUGCUAACGUCCGUCGUGAAGAGGGAAACAACCCAGACCGCCAGCUAAGGUCCCAAAGUCAUGGUUAAGUGGGAAACGAUGUGGGAAGGCCCAGACAGCCAGGAUGUUGGCUUAGAAGCAGCCAUCAUUUAAAGAAAGCGUAAUAGCUCACUGGUCGAGUCGGCCUGCGCGGAAGAUGUAACGGGGCUAAACCAUGCACCGAAGCUGCGGCAGCGACACUAUGUGUUGUUGGGUAGGGGAGCGUUCUGUAAGCCUGUGAAGGUGUACUGUGAGGUAUGCUGGAGGUAUCAGAAGUGCGAA
rnacentral:rRNA from 1 species